UACGGAGGGUGCAAGCGUUGCUCGGAAUCACUGGGCGUAAAGCGACCGCAGGCGGUCUGACAAGUCGGAUGUGAAAGCCCUGGGCUCAACUCAGGAAUAGCAUUCGAAACUGGCAGACUUGAGUACGGGAGAGGGGGGUGGAAUUCCUGGUGUAGGGGUGAAAUUCGUUGAUAUCAGGAGGAACACCGGCGGCGAAGGCGGCCCCCUGGCCCGCAACUGACGCUCAUGGUCGAAAGCGUGGGGAGCAAACAGG
rnacentral:rRNA from 1 species